GCAGCCUUGGAGCCCUCGGAGCCCCUUCCGCAGCAGCCCAGUGCAGCUCUCAGCGCAACCCCUCCGUGCAAGGUACAGCCUGGGAGCGUCAGUGGAGGAGCGCGGCCCUCAGUGCAGUGGGAAGCGUUCGGGGCGCCGAGCACAGCCUCUCCACCCACAUAUAGCACCGGUUUCUGGAGUAGAACAAAGACAGAAAUGACACAUGCUAGGGGGGCAGGCCUGUCUCCAGUGGAGCCCUUCAUGGAGUGCAGCUGCCGGGAGGAAGCGGGCCUUACACGGGCGGCACCCGCCCCGCAGGGCUGACCCGGAGGCCGCAUCGCUGGCCCGUUAGGGGACAGACGCCAGAGGGGCCCAUCCAAGUCCCGCUCCCACCAGGAAGGUGACCGGAUGUGCACACUUGGCCUCUGUGGGUGCAGUCACUGAAGAGAGGCCACUGCUGGGCCUGACCCUGUGGCCAGUGUCCUCAAGAGACAAGGACAGCUGGCACCAGACCCCGGGAGGAUGGAGGAGAGGCCUAGGGAAUUGGCCACCAACCAAGCACUGCGGGGCCACAGGGAGAGACGGGGCAGGAAGGUCCCUCGGUUGGAGUCUGUGGCAGGGUCUGGUCCCACACUUCGGUCUCAGAACUGGAAGGAAGAGGUGCCAGCCGGCCUGCAGUCCUGCAUCAGCAGCGAUGGAGCCAGGACGCCGACAAGGAAAGGUCAGGCUAUGGCAGUGUCCAGUGCCUAGAAACACUGGUUCCCAUGUGCAGCCCAACGAGGGGGACCCUUCCGAGACACCACGUACAAGAUGAACCGCAGACGGACUCAGGACCGAAGGCUACAACC
rnacentral:lncRNA from 1 species